AAUUACUUCUCCAGCUCAUAUUUCUCUCAAUUUUUCCUCAAAUAUUUUCUGAAUCUCUUUCGACUUUGUAAUUCAUGGAUUAUAUUGUUGAUGUUUUUAUUUUUAAAUUCUAAAUUCUGAACGAAUUGAUAAUUCUAUUAGACAACUGCAGGUCUCUUCACAAUCCUCCUUUACUAAUUGCUGCUCCUUCCUUAUUUCGAAGUUCCAUCUAUCUCUACGGAACUAAUAGAGUAUCAAGUUGAAGACCUAAGAAAUAUACCCUAAGAGGCAAAGGAAUGUGCAAAACUCAGAAUUAAUCCAAUUUAGAAUGGCAGAAUUGAAUUCCAUGGACAGUGAAGGCUAGAAAUUGCAGGCAACAUUUCAGUUUCUAUGUUUUCAAAAGGAGCUCGUGGAUCACCUUGAGAUUCAAGGUUUUCCUAUUGCAACAUUAACUGGUACCCGCAUUGGUUGCAUACACUAUGCAGAAACUCCCAAGCAUUUUUUUCUACAACGGUCUUCAACAAAAGGAAAUCAUUGUAUUAGUUGCUGGUUUGAGGUCAACAUAAUAGUCAUGGCAUAAGUGAGUUAGCUAUAAUGUAGUUAACAAAGUGUACUCUAUACACUCACACUUACAAGACGAUCUGAAGAGAAACAUGUUGAUCAGAGUUAGCUGUAAUGUAGUUAACAAAGUGUACUCUAUACACUCACACUUACAAGACGAUCUGAAGAGAAACAUGUUGAUCAGCCUAUUCUCAUGAUCUAUUGUGAUAAGUUUCUCUUCAUGUAUAAUAUUUUCUAGCCUGCUUGUAUUAUUUCUCUGGUUAACUUUGCAGUAUAGUGUUUCACCUUUCUACUUUA